GAUGAACGCUGGCGGCGUGCCUAAUACAUGCAAGUCGAGCGAACAGACGAGGAGCUUGCUCCUCUGACGUUAGCGGCGGACGGGUGAGUAACACGUGGAUAACCUACCUAUAAUACUGGGAUAACUUCGGGAAACCGGAUCUAAUACCGGAUAAUAUAUUGAACCGCAUGGUUCAAUAGUGAAAGACGGUUUUGCGGUCACUUAUAGAUGGAUCCGCGCCGCAUUAGCUAGUUGGUAAGGUAACGGCUUACCAAGGCAACGAUGCGUAGCCGAACUGAGAGGGUGAUCGGCGACACUGGAACUGGGACACGGUCCAGACUCCUACGGGAGGCAGCAGUAGGGAAUCUUCCGCAAUGGGCGAAAACUUGACGGAGCAACGCCGCGUGAGUGAUGAAGGUCUUGGGAUCGUAAAACUCUGUCAUUAGGGAAGAACAAAUGUGUAAGUAACUAUGCACGUAUUGACGGUAACUAAUCAGAAAGCCACGGCUAACUACGUG
rnacentral:rRNA from 1 species